GAUGAACGCUGGCGGCGUGCCUAAUACAUGCAAGUAGAACGCUGAAGGAAGGAGCUUGCUCUUUCCGGAUGAGUUGCGAACGGGUGAGUAACGCGUAGGUAACCUGCCUGGUAGCGGGGGAUAACUAUUGGAAACGAUAGCUAAUACCGCAUAACAGUAGAUGUUGCAUGAUAUCUACUUAAAAGGUGCAAUUGCACCACUACCAGAUGGACCUGCGUUGUAUUAGCUAGUUGGUGAGGUAACGGCUCACCAAGGCGACGAUACAUAGCCGACCUGAGAGGGUGAUCGGCCACACUGGGACUGAGACACGGCCCAGACUCCUACGGGAGGCAGCAGUAGGGAAUCUUCGGCAAUGGGCGGAAGUCUGAACGAGCAACGCCGCGUGAGUGAAGAAGGGUUUCGGAUCGUAAAGCUCUGUUGUAAGAGAAGAACGAGUGUGAGAGUGGAAAGUUCACACUGUGACGGUAUCUUACCAGAAAGGGACGGCUAACUACGUG
rnacentral:rRNA from 1 species